GACGAACGCUGGCGGCGUGCUUAACACAUGCAAGUCGAACGGAAAGGCCCUGCUUUUGUGGGGUGCUCGAGUGGCGAACGGGUGAGUAACACGUGAGUAACCUGCCCUUGACUUUGGGAUAACUUCAGGAAACUGGGGCUAAUACCGGAUAGGAGCUCCUGCUGCAUGGUGGUGGUUGGAAAGUUUCGGCGGUUGGGGAUGGACUCGCGGGUUAUCAGCUUGUUGGUGGGGUAGUGGCUUACCAAGGCUUUGACGGGUAGCCGGCCUGAGAGGGUGACCGGCCACAUUGGGACUGAGAUACGGACCAGACUCCUACGGGAGGCAGCAGUGGGGAAUAUUGCACAGUGGGCGGAAGCCUGAUGCAGCAACGCCGCGUGCGGGAUGACGGCUUUCGGGUUGUAAACCGCUUUCGCAUGUGACGAAGCGUGAGUGACGGUAAUGGGUAAAGAAGCACCGGCUAACUACGUG
rnacentral:rRNA from 1 species